rnacentral:rRNA from 1 species
CCUACGGGUGGCAGCAGUGAGGAAUCUUGGUCAAUGGACGAGAGUCUUAACCAGCCAAGUAGCGUGAAGGAUGACUGCCCUAUGGGUUGUAACCUUCUUUUAUAUGGGAAUAAAAUGUUCCACGUGUGGGAUUUUGUAUGUACCAUAUGAAUAAAGAUAGGCUACCUCCUUGCCAUCAGCCUCGGUAAUAAGGAGGAUCCGCGCGUUAUCCGGAUUUAUUGGGUUUAAAUGGAGCGUAGGUGGAUUGUUAAGUCAGUUGUGAAAGUUUUCGGCUCAACCGUAAAAUUGCAGUUGAAACUGGCAGUCUUGAGUACAGUAGAGGUAGGCGGAAUUCGUGGUGUAGCGGUGAAAUGCUUAGAUAUCACGAAGAACUCCGAUUGCGAAGGCAGUUCACUGGACUGCAACUGACACUGAGGCUCGAAAGUGUGGGUAUCAAACAGGAUUAGAUACCCUUGUAGUC